GAGGCUGAAGUAGAGCAGCACGAUGACCAGCACCAGGCAGGCUGUGAGCUGCCACCGCGGAGGCCCCAGGUCGUCGAUGCCAUGGCUCUGGUGGAGGUGCAGCACGCCACGUCAAAGUACUCGGCAGCAGGUGUGGUCCCAAAAGUGUCGUUGAGGCCCGAGCUGUCUCCACUGGAGUCACCAGGAUGGGCAUCCGAGCAGUUGGGGCUGUUCCAGGAGUUGUUGCAGUGGAUCCAGGGGAGCUCCGUGGUGAAGGAGGAGAAGAGAUAGUGCAGC
rnacentral:lncRNA from 1 species